GCUUAAGUAGAUAGGGUCCUAGAUCAGGAUUAUCCAUCAUUGAUUCAUCAAAAUCCUCAAUUCCAUUCUGCAUUUUUGAGCCCCUCAAAGGUGAAUCUUUCUGCUUCUUUAAUUGAGCAGCAACUGGACUAUUUUUUUUCAAAUUCUUUUCAUUCUUUCUGCUAAUAGGGGGUUUAUCCAACAAACCCUUGCCCCUGGGACUUGAUUUUGGAGAUGUCUCGUGGUCCAAUUGCAGGUGAGGAGCUUUUUUUCCAGAAGAAAGACGUUUUGAGCUUCCAGGUUGGGUAUUUUCAGCCUUCUCCUUCUUAUCUUCAGAUGGUGAUUGAUUCAUAGAAUCACUAGGAAAAUCAUGUUCA
rnacentral:misc_RNA from 1 species